rnacentral:pre_miRNA from 1 species
CAAUCUAUAUUGAUUCUGAGAGAACCGGUGUAGAAUGAUAAUCAUUCUAAGACGGCCUUCGACAUGUGACCGUUUUAGAAUCGUUAGCAUUCUACAUCGGUCGUCUCAGAACCGAUGUAGAAUG